UGGGGGAUAUUGCACAAUGGGCGCAAGCCUGAUGCAGCGACGCCGCGUGGGGGAUGAAGGCCUUCGGGUUGUAAACUUCUUUUGCUCUGAACAAGGCGCACUUUGGGGUGUGUUGAGUGUAGGGGUUGAUUAGCGCCGGCUAACUACGUGCCAGCAGCCGCGGUAAUACGUAGGGCGCGAGCGUUGUCCAGAAUUAUUGGGCGUAAAGGGCUUGUAGGUGGCUGGUUGCGUCUGUCGUGAAAGCUCAUGGCUUAACUGUGGGUUUGCGGUGGGUACGGGCUGGCUUGAGUGCAGUAGGGGAGGCUGGAAUUCCUGGUGUAGCGGUGGAAUGCGCAGAUAUCAGGAGGAAUACCGGUGGCGAAGGCGGGUCUCUGGGCUGUUACUGACACUGAGGAGCGAAAGCAUGGGGAGCGAACAGG
rnacentral:rRNA from 1 species